rnacentral:misc_RNA from 1 species
AUAUUCUAUUUUUCUCUUCAGAAGUGUUUUAUUGCUGCUAUAACAAGUUUUGGCCUAUUUUUGUUAUUUAUCAUAAAGUUAAUAACGAUUACCCUGUCAACACGCGCUCGGUGUAAACAUGGCCGUCGUGUUGCGAACGUUGUAGAGCUACUGCUAAUGUUUUCGUGAAGCAUUUGAUAUUAACAACUCAUAGACCAGUUGAAGAUGUACGAUGCUUGAUCAGCAUGUCUCGGUCUAUCCAAUCCCCUGAUGCACCAAAGAGGCCACCUCGUCCUUUUGUGAAGUUUAUGACUGAAAAAAUGUCAGAAAUUCGACAAAAUAAUCCAGGUGCCAGUGCUCCUAAAAUAAGCAAGAUUGCAAGUCAGCUGUGGAAUGAGCUUGGCACAGAAGAGAAAACUGUGAGUUAUAUAUAGGAACUGGAGGAAACGUGUGUUUGAGUAACAUGGAAUGGCAUCAGUAUCUACUUGUUUGAAAUCACAAAUCUAAACACAGGCAUACAAGUUACGUGUACAAGAAGAAAAUCGGGACUACAGAAAGAAGAGUUGCGCGAUCUGGGAAAGCCAAAAAAGCCACCAAACGCAUACAUGGUGUUUCUGAGAUCUUUUCUGCCUGAACAGGGUGGUGUACCUAUGAAACUAUUUCUCAAACAAGUUGCAGACCACUGGCACAAUAUUCCCAAAGAGGGGAAAGAGAUAUACGAGAAAGAUGCCAGGGAAGAAAGAGAAAAGUACAAGAAGGAAUUAGAAGAAUGGGAGAAGAAAAUGAUAGAAAUUGGACGUGAAGAUCUUGUUCGCAAAUCAUUUCUUGCGAAAGCCAAAAGAACUUAAGUUUUCUAAGUAGCAUAGAAAUCCUCCUCAUCAGGCCAAAUACAGAAGACAGUCUUGGUAUCACCAGCAUCAAGAAGGAAAGUCACAAAGGAGUCUUACUUUUCAUGAGAAUAACAGAUUUUUGAAAUGUU